rnacentral:misc_RNA from 1 species
GAAAUGCGAUAAGUAAUGUGAAUUGCAGAAUUCAGUGAAUCAUCGAAUCUUUGAACGCACCUUGCGCUCCUUGGUAUUCCUUGGAGCAUGCCUGUUUGAGUAUCAUGAAAUCUUCAAAGUAAAUCUUUUGUUAACUCACUUGGUUUCUACUUUGGUAUUGGAGGUCUUUGCAGCUUCACACCUGCUCCUCUUUGUUCAUUAGCUGUAUCUCAGUGUUAUGCUUGGUUCCACUCGGCGUGAUAAGUUAUCUAUCGCUGAGGACACUGUAAAAGGUGGCCAAGGUAAAUGCAGAUGAACCGCUUCUAAUAGUCCAUUGACUUGGACAAUACUUUUAUGAUCUGAUCUCAAAUCAGGUAGGACUACCCGCUGAACUUAAGC